CGCAAUGAUGAACCCCACGAUAGGGACAGCAUAUUACUUCGGUAAAUGAUGAGAUCCUGGGCGAAAAUUUUUAGUAGAUGCUUCGACUGUCUGAGC
rnacentral:snoRNA from 1 species